UGAAAAUAUCGAUACGGACAAAGUGCCAGAACGAAGCGCUAGUGGCCUAGCGGUAAGAGCGUGCGACUUGCAAUCCGGAGGUCGCGGGUUCAAACCCCGGCUCGUACCAAUGAGUUUUUCCGAACUUAUGUACGAAAUAUCAUUUGAUAUUUACCAGUCGCUUUUCGGUGAAGGAAAACACCGUGAGGAAACCGGACUAAUCCCAACAAGGCCUAGUUUCCCCUCUGGGUGGGUCAGAUGGUAGUCGCUUUCGUAAAAACUAGUGCCUACGCGAAUUCUUGGGAUUAGUUGCCAAGCGGACCCCAGGCUCCCAUGAGUCGUGGCAAAAAUGCCGGGACAACGCGAGGAAGAUGAUGACUGGGACCUAAGAGCGUCGGAAGACGUCGCAGGAAACAAUCUCCCGAGUUAUUGACGUCCUGACAAUAGCUGCCGCCUCGUUCCGGAAUGUGAAAAUUGCGUCCAAACAGAGCAUUAAGUGCGCAGUUUUUCUAUCAUGGAACUCAUGUCAUGGUAUUUAGUAACUAAUAAAUAACGUACUAACUAAUAAGUCUAAUAACAUACUACACAACAGUUGGUGCUGGUUUCCGGAUUCAAACUAUCUAUAAGGGAGGGGAGAGGGGGCGACUAAUAGUAGCGAAUAGAAUAAUGUAGCUCGAACAAUAUGCGUGUCUGCAGUCUGCAGAGUGUGUGCUGCAGAUGUAGCUAUUUAUAGUAUGAAAUUAUCAUACUACCGUCCUUCCAAUCUGUUAAUAGGUACCUUACGAGUAAGAUAGACUAUUCAAUAAUCUCGAAGGCGCGAGUGGUGGCUUCUCCACAACUUUGCUCAAUUCGGCAUGUUGCGAUGGCACUAUUGUAGAAAUGACUGUAGUUGUGCCACUGAUGAUCUCUUAACAGCCCCGUUUUUAAUCAAGAAUUACACCAUUAUCAUUUUUUUAUGGAGAGCACCACAGUAGUUAGUUUUAUUUUUAUAUACAUUAAACAUAAAAUAUCUUCACGUGUCGAAUGACGAUCCUUAUGACAGCUAGUUUCUCAACUUCUCCAAGUCGCUUUUGGAUAAGUAGUCUACAUUUAGAAAAUAGUUGUAGAAGUACAGGGUGUCCCAUGCAGAAGUACCACGUCACAGUGACACCGGAGGUAGGUCAACUCAAGAGAUACCUAACCAGCCUAACAUGACCCCAGUAAAAGUUGCACGGUUUUCGAGUUAUUACCGAUUUACCGAAAUAAAUAAAAAAUAAUUGAGAAUUUUCCACUUUGUUUUAACAUUUUUAGUACCUACCAGCACCGAUAACUAAAACCAUGCAACUUUUACUGGGGUCAUGUUCGGUUGGGCGGAAUGCUAAACUGCAUUACUCCGCGUAAAAAAAUUAAUAAAAAGAAAAUAAAUAAAAAAUCCAAAUAAAUUAAUGACUUAAUAUUUCCAAAAAUGUUACGUGAGAGCAGCUCCAUAUAAAAUUGAACUGUCAUAAAGGGAAGGGGUUAUUGAACGCGCGAGUAACUGUACACUUACUUACAUACGAUCCUGACUGAGGGGCACAACACAACAUUUGUGCAAUGUCAGUAGUAUCCCUGAUCCCUGCUUAUGAAGCUGAAUCUCCCGAUUUCCAAGUAUAAGGGCAUUUAUUUGUGCGUUUAUUGCGAUAUUUUGUUCUUGAGUUGUGCGGAUGUUUUCUAGGUAAGGUACCUACAUGUGUUUAUUUAUUUAAGUCUGAAUGACGUCUCCUAGCACCCACAGUACAAGCUUUGCUUAAUUUAGGGCUAGGUAUAUAGAUCUGUGCAAGAUUAAUUUUUGGCAAGUUAGACCCACCGAUAUCUUACACCUAUCAUGUAACCAUGGUAUUGUAGGUACUAAAUUUAUCUAAGGUACUAUUCUCAAAUCAGCUCUAAGUAUUUUUUUCGUUUUGGCCAUGUUUAUGCAUAUUGUUUGUACAUAGGUGCAUAGCCACGAACAUAGGUUCGUUCUAUUAUAAUAGCUAGAUUUCUUAACUACAUACAAAGAUUUGUGUAAUAUGGGUUGACGAUGAUGGAUUAAUGUAUUAAUUUUAUUUACCUAGUACUUAUUAAUUUGGAUAAAAGCUUCUUCGAUGACUGGUGUUCGUUGCCUGGGGCGCACACUUCUGUUGGUUAGCUGUUAUAUGUUUGAAGGGGAAAGUGAAAUUACACAUUCAUUUGUUAUUCUUUUUUUAUUCCACAAAAAUUGUAUUAAUUCAUGUUUUAGCAUACAAGCGUGAACAUCAAUGGUCAAGUAGCAUUUCUCCCUAAACCUUUUAUAACGGUCUCUUCUCUUCUCUUCAGAACUGAGGGCAGAUUUUAGAGAUGGAGUUAUGCUACUCGCUACUGCCUAGUGUAGUCUAAUUGACUGUGGUUUUAACUUUCUCUAUAACUUACACACUAAUCAAAUAGCUAAAUACUGAAUCUGAAUGUUGUUGCUGUGUUUAGGUAUUAAAUGUUAAGUCACCACGAACGACAUUGCGUAAAAAUCUGUUUGAUAAUUAUAUAAAAUGUUUCCAUUUCAUUCUCUAGUCGACGUAGUGAACCGAAACUUAUUUUGAUAGCACAUGGUGUUAGCGUUAACUAGGUUAAUUGAUAAAUGAUGCACUUUAGGCAUGUGUUGAAGUAAAACGGAAUACUUUAAAUUCUUAUAUCGCCAUAGAGCAGGGAUCAUGCGUGCAUGUCACAGAGUACGAAGUAUAAAAAUGUAACCAAGAGGCGCGCGCAAAUAGUUCUUGAGCUCUUGGACUUGUACCUCGUAUUCCAUAUGUCAUUCCCGCAAGAGGCAUGCUCUAUUGCGUUGUAAUAAGAUGAUCAUACAACAUAGACACAUCGCCUCGCCCUCUGCCCACUAGCACUAGCACUAGCUCGUGAAGAGUGAUGCGCACGCCACGCCCUAUAUCUUGCUGUCUAGCUAGCUAGAACAUGCAACAUGGUGGUAUUGGUGGUUGGUAGGUGGGUUGCUCAUUAUUGCUCAUCAAGAACAUAUCAAUAAUCAUUUCCAUUAUACAUACCUACAUCAAAAAUUCGUUAAAAAUAAUUGAUGUACAGAAGCUGCAUAGUUAAGAGUUGGUUGGCACUAAACUAAAAUACACAAAUACUUAUAUAAGAUGAUGUUAUUGUGAUUGUAUGACGAAACGAACAUAUCAUUAAAGGUGAUUAAAUAGAUAUACUCUAUUAAAA